UACGGAAGGUCCGGGCGUUAUCCGGAUUUAUUGGGUUUAAAGGGAGCGCAGGCUGAUGAUUAAGCGUGACGUGAAAUGUGGCGGCUCAACCGCCGAGUUGCGUCGCGAACUGGUUGUCUUGAGUGAGGCCGACGUGCGCGGAAUUCGUGGUGUAGCGGUGAAAUGCUUAGAUAUCACGAGGAACCCCGAUUGCGAAGGCAGCGCACGAGCCCUCAACUGACGCUAAUGCUCGAAGGUGCGGGUAU
rnacentral:rRNA from 1 species